ACACACAAGACAGCCAUUCCUAUCCUGAACAGCUACAGGAGCCAGAGCAGAGAGACAAAAUCUUGUUAUUACUUUGUUUUCCCCUGCUAUUCUUCAAUAUGGGCAUCUUUUGACAUUUUUUGCCGAACAGUGGAUUCAAAGCAUAUUGUGGACACAGUAGGCCUAUAUUGACGUGAGACCAUGCAGAAAAUGCUACUUUCUCUCAACCUCCUGGAUCAGCAUUCAGCAGCCUCGUGACACAGUUGAAGCCAUUUUCGAAUUCUUUGCGUGUAUGUACCCUGGAUCAAGCAGCACUUGCAUUAUACAGGAGAUUCCACCCAAAAUCUAAACCAUGAGUCCAAGCUGCAGAGGAAUAUUUCCAAAAUGAGGUCUACACACACACACAGGUUACUUUCCCCUUCAUUAUAGAGAUAAAGAGAGAGAGAUGGGGGGAUGAGUUAUAGCCACGAACCUGAAUAGCUUAAAUGUAGAACUGAGAUGCCCAUCCAUGUCACUUGCCAUUUUAAUGAAUUACAGGGUUUACAAACAUACAUAUUAACCCUUUGGGUAAAAGAUCUUGGUAUUUGCGUAAAUUUGUUAUUACUAUUUAUGAAGUAGACCUGUUUCAUAAUGCUAUGUAGUAGAUCAGUCUCAUACUCGACCCCACCCCCUUCAUAUCACAAUGUCAAUUCCUAAAACCUGUGGCAAAUUAUAUAAGUUGGUAAUAGAGAAAAAUUGAAUGAGGUAGAUGCAAUACAAAUUGAUUCCAAUCUUAAGCACUUAAGACUUUAUUCAGGUAUGGCACGUGAACCGCCCAAAAAAUUCCAAAAAUGCUGCAGUUUUGUUUUAUGUUUAAAGUGAACGGUAACAAAGGACCUACAUGUUUUUGUAUAUUUUGGACUGCGCAUAUUCAGUGAUCUCUGUAUUAUAAUAUAUAGAAAUGUAAAGCAUAUAGAACCUUAUGUCAACUCCAGCAUCAUAUCUGAACGAGCCUUAAAAGACAAUCCAACCCUUGUAAUAAGUUCGUUGAAAUGGAAGCUGAAAAAUAAGAGAAAUAGAAAGGCGAAAGUUUGAAAUAAAUCGGGCCAAUAUAAAGGGAGUUGUGAUAAUAUAUAAAUAUGAGAUCACUAAAUCCAUGCAUAUCUCAAUGAAAUGCUAGAGCGCCGUAUGGCAGCCGUGCUAAAGCCAGGGUAAUAAUCGGGAGCGCCAGGAGGGUCAAAUCUGACUGACAUGAGCGCUACACAAGAACCCACUAUUAUUAUUAUUAUUACACCUGUAGUCAUGGGACAACUCUCCCAUUUGUUAAUGAAAUAUAAUAAAUUCUCUUUUUAUUUUAAGUGCCUUCUCCCUUUGAGAACUACUCAAAAUAUAUUAUGAAUAGCACAUUAUUACAAGUCCUCUACAUAGAAAAGCCACUCGUGGAUCAUACAUUUUGAAGAAAAAAAA